GCAUUGUUAGAGCCGGGGACAGGAGGGCCGCCCAGGGCCCUUUAAGCAUCUCCCCUCCUACCAAGCUAAGCUCCCCCCACGGCGUCUGAUCCCGCCCCGGGGUCCCUGGCAGGUCCCGGAUUGGUGGGGAGGGUUGGUCUCUUUGAAGCGUGGCUGCUGAUCUAGGCUAUUUGACGUGUUGAUAGGGGAAGGGGAAGGUUUUUGUCUUACCGGGGCCGGUACUGCUGCCGCCGCCACCGCCCUGCUCAGCUCGGCAGCACUGCGGAGCUCGCCCCGCAGCCCCCGGAGCUCGCCUCCCUCCCUUUCCCCUCCCCCCUUACCCUACCCCACCCCGCCCGGCUCUCUCCCCCUGCAACCUCCUCCAAAUGAGCGGUUCGCCCGCUGGAUCUAACCCAAGGACAUCGCAGAGCGGCGGAGGGGAGAGCGCACCGUCCCCAGCAGCAGCAGCGUGCCCGGCGCUCUCGCACCUGCCCGCGGCGGACCCCCUGCGCCAGGCGAACCGGCUCCCCAUCAGGGUCCUGAAAAUGCUCAGCGCCCACACCGGCCACCUCCUGCACCCGGAAUACCUGCAGCCUCUCUCCUCCACGCCUGUCAGCCCCAUCGAGCUGGACGCUAAGAAGAGCCCGCUGGCGCUCCUGGCACAGACCUGCUCCCAGAUCGGCAAGCCGGACCCGCCGCCUUCCUCCAAGCUCAACGCGGUGACCGCCAACGGGCUGCCCGGCGCGGACAAGGAGCCUGGGGCCCGCUCCAGCUCCUCCGCCCUCAAGCAGCUGGGCGGCGGCGGCGACUCCCCGGCCGAGGACAAGUCCAGCUUCAAGCCCUACUCCAAGGGCGGCGGGGACCCCCGCAAGGAGGCCGGCUCGGCGGGCGCGGGCCCCGGCGCGGACAAGGCAGGGUUCCGGGUGCCCAGCGCCACCUGCCCGCCCUUCCCGCCGCAUGCGGCCGCCGCCUCCUCCCCGGGCGGCUCCCGGGGCAGCUCCCCGCAGCACGGAGACUGCAAGGGCCAGGAGGACAAGAAGGAGCCCGAGGCGGCGGCCAAGCCCAGCCCCGAAGCGGCGCCGGGGCCCGGAGGCAGCGGCUUGAGCCGGGCCGGCGGGGGCGCAGGGAGCGCAGAGACCGGGGCGCAUGGCGAGGCCGCCUCGGGGCGCAAAUCGGAGCCUCCGGCCCUGGCGCCCGCCGGCCACGUGGCCCCGGUGUCCCCCUACAAGCCGGGCCACUCCGUCUUCCCUCUGCCCCCUUCCAGCAUCGGCUACCACGGGUCCAUCGUUGGGGCUUACGCCGGCUACCCGUCCCAGUUCGUGCCCGGCCUGGAUCCUACUAAAGCCGGCCUGGUGAGCAGCCAGCUGCCGGGGACCUUGGGCUUGCCCGGCAAGCCGCCCAGCUCCAGCCCGCUGACCGGGGCCUCCCCGCCCUCCUUCAUGCAGGGAUUAUGCAGAGACCCCUAUUGCUUGAGCUACCACAGCGCCUCGCACCUGGGCACCAGCAACUGCUCCAGCUGCGUGCACGACCCCGGCAGCCUGAAAAGCGGAUACCCCCUGGUGUACCCCACACACCCCCUGCACUCCGUCCACACCACCCUGUCCUCCAGCGCCACCCCGAGCCUGCCCAGCCACCCCCUCUACACCUACGGCUUCAUGCUCCAGAACGACCCCCUUCCCCACAUAUGCAACUGGGUGUCUGCCAGUGGACCCUGCGACAAGAGGUUUGCCACCUCAGAGGAACUGCUCACCCACCUACGGACCCACACGGCUCUGCCCGGGGCGGAGAAACUCUUGGCUGGCUACCCUACCUCUGGCCUUGGCUCUGCGGCAUCCUGCCACCUCCACCUCCCACCCACCGCCCCAGGGAGCCCCAACACUUUACCGGGAUCCCUGUCUUUGAGGAGCCCACACACUUUGGGACUAAACAGGUACCACCCUUAUGGCAAGAGCCACUUGCCCACAGCCGGUGCCCUGCCAGUGCCCUCCUUGCCAGCAGCUGGAACCUACUACUCUCCAUAUGCGCUGUAUGGCCAAAGACUAACUUCAGCUUCCGCGCUUGGAUAUCAGUAACUAAAGCACCCCCGUCUCCUCUCCCUCCCCCGCUCUCCUUCCCUUCCUUGGACUGUGUAUUUAUUUACUGUAUGUUAGCUUAAAGCUGGGAAUAUUAAGUGCAUUAAUACACCAAUGAAUCAAUGGUAUGCAAAAAGUCUGUGUCUAAAAAAAAAAAAAUCCUUUCCUUUGCAGGUGUGGGGCUUUUCUUUUUCCUUUGUUUCCCUUUUACUUCUUCUUUUGACAUUUUAUUUUAUUUUGCCCCCUCCCCUCCCCAGGAAGUCCUUGCAUGCCUCUUUUAACAAAUACAUUUUCCCUCCCUCGUUUUAUCAUUUUGAAAUUCCGUUUCUCUUUGUUUGUACAGUUAACAGAGAUGUAAUUUUUUUUUUGUAAUGUAUUUUGGGGAAGGGGCAACGGCAGUGGGGAGGGAGGAAGGGCAGCUGGGAGAACAUCUAUGGCAGCGCUACCCCAGAGCUCUCUUCAUCCCAAAAUGUGGUACUGUCUGCAAAAGCCAAGGAGACCUACUGAUCGGGACAGUGGGUGGACGCUCCCUGCUUCUUUCUAUAGUUUGGAAAAGGACAAAGGAAGUGCCAUACUGAUUCAAACCAGUGGUCCUCCAUCUAGUCCGGUAUCCUGUCUCCUGCUCUCCCGUGCUUGGAAAAUCUACCUUGCUUGCCAGCACCAGUGGGCUCCUGUACAAACCUAUAACUAGUGUACCAGUCAGCCUGGUCUCUGGACUCCCCUGAUAAUACUGAAGGAGUCCACUGAUGUCCUGGGAUAAGGUGUAAUGGCUGUGCCACUGCAAAUGACUUGCUUUCGCUCGCUGACCCACCACAGGGCACCUGAUCAAAAUUAAAAGAUGUGGAUUACGAAUUUGGUGUCCGUAACUCACUGAUGGGGGCGGGGGAGAAGAGACCCUUCACAGCCGCAGAAAUCGGAGAGAGCCGCCCUGCCUGGUACCAACUGGGUCGUUUAAUCCAGCGCCCAGGGCCAAAUCCAUCUUGAUCUGAUGUCUACAGGCCCAGUCUACAUACCAAAAACCCCCAUCCCCAAACCCCAGCUUUUCUUGACCUACAGGAAUGAACCAUGAAUGGGGUGCAGAGCCUGCCCCGCUCCCGUCCCCAGUCUAACACAGCAGGGAAGGCUGUGGAUCAUUUUGGGUGAAUAGAGCUCCAUCUUGAUUAGCAAAUUCCAUGGUGUGCCUCUAAAGCACUUGAGAGAGACUACGCUGAUGGCUGGAAGGAGACCCAUGCUUUGCGCUAGGCAUGGCCUGCAGCUGGACAAAGGUGCCUUCUUGAGAGCGGUGCAGCGGCGUGUGUGUGUGUGUGUGAGCCUACACCCCCAAUCCUGCAUAUGCUGACCUUUACACACCAGAGCUGCUCCUUUGGGGAGCCUGCAAGUGAAGGCACCAUCCCAUUUGCAGCAGAUCUCAUCACGGCAGGAGGGAGUGGGGCAAUGAAAGGACCUAGAAGGUGCAAAGGCCAAAUGAUCCUCAUGACUAGCACAACCGGCAGGAGAGUUCACCGCAGGACAAGGGAAAGGCUGGACUGACCGGGGUCCUGAUUCAGAAAGGGAUGUAAGCAAGCACUUAACUAACUCUAAGCAGGAAAAUUCUCCAUGGCAGUUGUUUCCUAAAGACUGCAGUACCUGCCCAGACUGUGUAAACACUGCAAAGUAUCCUCUGAUGCCAGUCAACACUCUGUGACUUUCUCUGCUAGGAAAUGAUUGUGUUGCCAACUCCCCAUUGAAUCAGUUGCUGAGGCCACAGCGUGUGUGUGGAAGGAGCCAGGACACUUCACAACUGUGUGCUAUUUAAACAGAAAACAUGCAAGAUUUUGUUGCCGGGGCAGGGGGAGGAGGAUCAAAUGAAAGGCAGGGUGCGCUUUUGCUUUGACUCUGCCUCCGACCCAAAGCGAACAAAGGCAACAUUAUCCCUUGUGCUGGAAAAGGAGUGACUUGGACGCACAUGCAGAGCAGUUCCUUAUAAAUAUCCCCAUUGGUAAAGGCUGAAGUCAAGCUGACCGCAGAAUGAUCUGCCCACCUAAUAAAUAUGUGAAUGAAAGGG